rnacentral:rRNA from 1 species
UGACUUAUAACCUAGCGAUCUUAGUGAGGAGAAAUCCUCGCUAAUUUAAACUUAUAUUGGCAACAAUAUAACUAAGUUGAAGGUUGACAAACUCUAAAUUUUCAACGAUGGAUGUCUAGGCUCCCAUAACGAUGAAGAACGCAGCGAGAAUGCGAUAUGCAAUGUGAAUUGCAGAACUACGAAUCAUUUGAUCUUUGAACGCAAAUGGCGCUGGCGCAUGCCAGCAUACUUGUUUCAGUGUGCCUAACCAAAUCAAACUAAAUGUAAGAGAUAAUUCUCUUAUCAAAUACAUGCUCCGAGUAGCAAUCACAUUUAUUUGUGAGCUAUUUGCGAGACUCAUGUCUUAUUCGCACCUGAAAUCAAGUAAGAUCACCCGCUGGACUUAAGCAUAUUACUAAGCGGAGGAGAAGAAAUUAACUAAGAUUGCCUUAGUAAGGGCGACUGAACCGGCAAAAGCUCGAAAUUAAAAUCGGAAAUUCAACGAAUUUUCGAAUUGUAAUCAGGGUUGCCUAAAUACGGGAGGUUCCUCAAGAGUCUCGAAAGGCUCGCCAAAGAGGGUGAAAGCCCCGUGCAGGGAUCUCUCGAACAAGGUAAUUCACACAAGAGUCGUGUUGCUUGGAACUGCAGCACUAAGUGGGAGAUAUGAUUCUUCCAAAGCUAAAUAUGGAUGGGAGACCGAUAGCGAACAAGUACUGUGAAGGAAAGAUGAAAAGGACUUUGAAAAGAGAGUGAAAAGAUCUGAAAUCGUUGAGAAGGAAGCGGUUCAAACUGAUCGAGGUUAUGAUGGCGCAACGCGGCCAAAAGUCGUGGAGCGUUUACCAAAAACCCUGGACAAAAUGAAUCUCUUCGUGCCAAAAUAGGCGCAAGCCGUGUAAGCAUGAAAGGGAUUGAGG